rnacentral:rRNA from 1 species
AUUGAACGCUGGCGGCAGGCCUAACACAUGCAAGUCGAACGAGUGGCGGACGGGUGAGUAAUGCUGGGGAAUGUAGCUUAUGGAGGGGGCUCACUACGGGAACCUGUAUCUAAUACCGCGUACUCACGGAUGAGCCCAUGUGGGAUUAGGUAGUUGGGGAGGUAACGGCUCACCAAGCCGACGAUCUCUAGCUGGUCUGAGAGGAUGACCAGCCACACUGGGACUGAGACACGGCCCAGACUCCUACGGGAGGCAGCAGUGGGGAAUAUUGCGCAAUGGGGGCAACCUGACGCAGCCAUGCCGCGUGAAUGAAGAAGGCCUUCGGGUUGUAAAGUUCUUUCGGUAGCGAGGCGUUAACUACAGAAGAAGCACCGGCUAACUCCGUGCCAGCCGCCGCGGUAAUUC